rnacentral:lncRNA from 1 species
GUUCUGGCUGAUGAUAAUCUGGUAAUUCUUGUUCAAUUUGCUUCCACUACAAUCAAUUAUUUGUGUUUGUUUUGGUUAUGAGGAAACGUGUUGUGAUAACUUCCUUUAGCUGCUCAAAAUGUAAUACCAAACUCCCUGCUGGCAUGACUUCAAAAGCAGAGUUGUGCCAGCAGAUAAUUUGGCCUAGAUUAUUUUUAAGAAGGUUGUCAGUCUUGUUUUUCUCUAUUACAUGCUUACUGUGGUUAUAUUCAACACUUAUUCUCCUGAUUGCAGCUCUAACUCUGAAUGAAUACCGUGGAGAAAUCAUUUGACCUGUGCUGAGACAGAGGCAGCCCCCCUCACAGAGCUGGUUGAAAACAAGAAUGAUUCAUUUAUCUAGACUGUACUACUAGACAUCUCAAAAUGCUUCCCAGAAAAAAAGAGAACAUUAAAAACACGAACAGCAAAAGCCUGGUAAAAGUUGUAACCAGCUCUGACUGUCCAUGGUAUGACAGCCAACAAAUAUCACCUGCUGAUGAUUUACAGAUUCCUGGGAGAUGUGGUGUUGAGUCUCAAAGAACUGGAAUGAGAACAACUCACUCAACGUGCUUCUCAGGAAACAAUGUAAUGUAUCCACCCGUUUCAUGCUCUCCUAAUUUAGGACAUGUGUAGUGUGUAAUGAUGAAUAGGCCAACUGGUUAUGUUGCUGUAAAUCUCAUUCUCCACCUUACUAAGCACCCUUGAUUGACCCCAUCUUUUGUGAAAGCUCAGCCCAGGGUUUUCAUUUCACCUCUUGGGAAGGAGAAAUCACGCUAACUGUUUGCAAACAUGCUUCUGCAGAGAGAAAAAAUACAAUGUUUUGUUGUUUUUAUUUCAUUGGGCAGCCUUUUAAAGUGCUGUGACCCACUUUUGCCUCCCUUUAAACUGUGACCAGUAUUUAUUUAUCCCUUUUUAAACACAGUAAUUUAAUUAAGAAACUAAUCAGCAGUGUUGAAAUGAUCUUUGAACUACACCUUUAUCACUGAAAGAAAUUUAUGAAUGCAUAAUACAAGAAAGAUUCUAUUACCUAAAAAGCUUUCUACUAAAAUGAUUUGGCAUCUGAAAAGCAAGGCUUGAAAUUCUGCACUAAAUUUACAAUAUGGAGAUGUGAAAAUUAUUUAUAGACUCUGAAAGAUGUUCCAACUGAAUCUGACAAGAUUGUCUGGAUUGUUUAUUAAGAAUAAAACUGUUUCAAGUUCAAAGGAUUUUGGAAGU